rnacentral:rRNA from 1 species
GAUGAACGCUAGCUACAGGCUUAACACAUGCAAGUCGAGGGACCGGCGCACGGGUGAGUAACCCGUAUCCAACCUGCCCUUUACUCGGGGAUAGCCUUUCGAAAGAAAGAUUACUACCCGAUUUCAAGGAUGGGUCUGCGUUCCAUUAGGUUGUUGUUGAGGUAACGGCUCACCAAGCCUUCGAUGGCUAGGGGUUCUGAGAGGAAGGUCCCACACAUUGGAACUGGGACACGGUCCAAACUCCGACGGGAGGAAGCAGUGAGGAAGAGUGGUCAAUGGGCGCUAGCCUGAACCAGCCAAGUAGCGUGAAGGAUGAAGGCUUAUGGGUCGUAAACUUCUUGUAUAUAAGAAGAUGUAUUAUAUGAAUAAGGAUCGGCUAACUCCGUGCCAGCAGCCGCGGUAAUUC